AUCAUGACUAGGUCGGUUGUCAGGACUUCUAAAUACAUUACCACUAUCAUGACUAGGUCAGUUGUCAGGACUUCUAAAUGCAUUACCACAAUCAUGACUAGGUCGGUUGUCAGGACUUCUAAAUACAUUACCACAAUCAUGACUAGGUCGGUUGUCAGGACUUCUAAAUGCAUUACCACAAUCAUGACUAGGUCGGUUGGUGGGACUUCUAAAUACAUUACCACAAUCAUGUCUAGGUCGGUUGUCAGGACUUCUAAAUACAUUACCACAAUCAUGUCUAGGUCGGUUGUCAGGACUUCUAAAUACAUUACCACUAUCAUGACUAGGUCGGUUGUCAGGACUUCUAAAUACAUUACCACAAUCAUGUCUAGGUCGGUUGUCAGGACUUCUAAAUACAUUACCACAAUCAUGACUAGGUCGGUUGUCAGGACUUCUAAAUGCAUUACCACAAUCAUGACUAGGUCGGUUGGCAGGACUUCUAAA
ensembl:lncRNA